rnacentral:rRNA from 1 species
AGUGAACGCUGGCGGUAGGCCUAACACAUGCAAGUCGAACGGCAGCACAGUAAGAGCUUGCUCUUACGGGUGGCGAGUGGCGGACGGGUGAGGAAUACAUCGGAAUCUACUUUUUCGUGGGGGAUAACGUAGGGAAACUUACGCUAAUACCGCAUACGACCUACGGGUGAAAGCAGGGGAUCUUCGGACCUUGCGCGAUUGAAUGAGCCGAUGUCGGAUUAGCUAGUUGGCGGGGUAAAGGCCCACCAAGGCGACGAUCCGUAGCUGGUCUGAGAGGAUGAUCGGCCACACUGGAACUGAGACACGGUCCAGACUCCUACGGGAGGCAGCAGUCGGGAAUAUUGGACAAUGGGCGAAAGCCUGAUCCAGCCAUACCGCGUGGGUGAAGAAGGCCUUCGGGUUGUAAAGCCCUUUUGUUGGGAAAGAAAAGCAGCAGGUUAAUACCCCGCUGUUCUGACGGUACCCAAAGAAUAAGCACCGGCUAACUUCGUG